GAUUUAGCCAUGCAAGUCUAGGGGCUCUUCGGAGCACCGGCGAAAGGCUCAGUAACACGUCAUUAAUCUGCCCUUAGGUCAGGCAUAACCUCGGGAAACUGAGGCUAAUUCUUGAUAGGGAAAAGAUACUGGAAUGUACUUUUCCUCAAAGAUUACGCCUAAGGAUGAGUUGGCGGCGGAUUAGGCUGUUGGUGGGGUAAUGGCUCACCAAACCAAAGAUCCGUACGGGCAUUGAGAGAUGUAGCCCGGAGAAGGGUGCUGAGACACUAACCCUAGCCCUACGGGGUGCAGCAGGCGCGAAACCUUUACAAUGCACGAAAGUGUGAUAAGGGGAUCCCAAGUGCUCAUGCAUUGCAUGGGCUUUUUGCCAAGAGUAAAUAUCUUGGAGAAUAAGUGGUGGGUAAGACUGGUGCCAGCAGCCGCGGUAACACCAGCGCCACGAGUGGCAAUCGCUAUUAUUGGGUCUAAAGCGUCCGUAGCCGGUCUGACCAAUCUUUUGUGAAAUCGACAAUCUUAACUUGUCGGCGUGCAAGAGACACUAUCAGACUAGGGACCGGGAGGAGCAUGAGGUAUUCUAGGGUGAGCGGUAAAAUGCUGUAAUCCUUGGAGGACCACCUGUGGCGAAGGCGUCAUGCCAGAACGGAUCCGACGGUGAGGGACGAAAGCUAGGGGAGCAAAACGGAUUAGAUACCCGAGUAGUCCUAGCUGUAAACUCUGCGAGCUAGGUGUUGCGCAUUCUUAGUGAAUGUGCAGUAUCGAAGCGAAGGCGUUAAGCUCGCCACCUGGGAAGUACGGUCGCAAGGCUGAAACUUAAAGGAAUUGGCGGGGGAGCACCACAAGGGGUGCGGCGUGCGGUUUAAUCUAAUUCAACACAGAGAAUCUCACCAGCAGCGACGGCAGAAUGAAGGUCAGGCUGAAGACCUUACCCAACAGGCCGAGAGGUGCUGCAUGGCCGCCGUCAGCUCGUGCUGUAAGGUGUCCUCUUAAGUGAGGUAACGAGCGAGACCUGCGUCCACAAUUGCUAACUGGCCCGUCUGGGUGACAGCGCACAAUGUGGAGACUGCCUUGGAAACAAGGAGGAAGGUACAGGCUACGGUAGGUCUGUAUGGCCCGAAUCUGCUAGGCUACACGCGCGCAACAAUGGUAGGGACAAUGGGCUGCAACUCCGAAAGGAGAAGCUAAACCUCUAAACCCUAUCUUAGUCCAAAUCGAGGGUUGUAACUCACCCUCGUGCCGACGGAAUCCCUAGUAAUCGGGUAUCAUCAAUGCCCGGUGAAUAUGUCCCUGCUCCUUGCACAUACCGCCCGUCAAACCACUCGAGCAGGUUCUAGGUGAGGCCUAGUUUCUUGAUUAGGUCGAAUCUAGGAUCAGUGAGAUGGGUUAAGUCGUCACAAGGUA
rnacentral:rRNA from 1 species